rnacentral:lncRNA from 1 species
GCGGGAAAUAGCUCUCUAAACGCAGCCCCCCGGCCCCCAGAAAAAAAAACCCCCCGCGGGGACGGGAUGACGCUGUCCGGACGGACAUCUCCCACGCCACGCCGCGUCACGCCCGCCCGGCCUGUAUAAAAGAGCCGCGCGUCCGGCCGCCCAGGUCUUCUCGUCGCCCCACCGCGAGCGCAGGAAGGCAGGGAGAGAGAGAGAGAGACACCCACGCAGGGACAGGGACACCCACUCGAGCCCGAGAGAGCCGCCGGAGCGUCGCGCCAUGGCCGGAAUGAGAGCCGCGCAGCUGGGAGUGCUGCUGCUCGCCAUCAGCCUGUCCACACAAGUUUUUGCGAAGAAUUCCACGUUUCACCCCGGAAACUCCACAGCGGGCUGGAACGACACGACCGCGGCACCGAACACGCAGAGCACAGGCAACUCGGCCACCGGCUCUGCGAGCCUCCCCAACCACCUCAGCACCGGCCUGCUCCUCCCCGUCGCCGUGGCGACCACGCUGAUGCACCGCUACUGCUAAACAGAAGGCGAAGAAAAAUCCUCCCCAUCUCCCCAACCCCAGUUCUCUUUAGUCACUCCGGGAGCCGAACCCUGAACCCCGCCCGCUCCACCCCUACAGGGAUGCUGAGGACCAGCGCCCCGCCGCAGGUGCCACCCAAAGGAGUCCGCUGCUCCGCUCGAAACUCGGUGGCGGUGAGGUGGAGGAAGUUGUGUCACCGUGGGGGAGGAUAUGGUCGGCUUCUGCUGUUCCUGUUCCUCGGUGGUAGAAAUUUCUGUAAUUGUUAGGCACAUUAUUCUGUUCAUAGGGUUGUCCAUUGCCUCUCUCUCUCUCUCUCUCUCUCUCUCUCUCUCUCGCUCUCCAGUUCUUGUAAAGGAGAAGUCUGACCGCAUUGUUGCUUGGUUGUAAUGCUUGGUUUAUGGUGGGUGAAAGAGGAUGUAAAACAAAGUUCUCUCUCUUUCUCUCUGCAUCUUCUGCUACGGGACUGCUUCCUUUGUACCUAAACUCACCAUAGUUUUAUAUUUUGUAUAAAGGUGACAUUUUAAAUGUUGGUUAGUUUAGUGGGGAACGUGGAAGGAUGUGAAACAACUGAUUGGUGUAGAAUAAACGAUAAAAAAAAGGGAU